UGUUUUCUUCCUCUGCUUUCAGGAGGAAGCAUUGCACCGCGGGCACGGCGGGCAGCAUGGUUGCCUGAGGCAGAAGCUUCCGCAGUCGCUGGAGUAGCUGGAGGAAGGAACAUGGAACCGUAGCGGCUCACCCAGGAAGAGUUCCAGGAUGGCAGCUCAGCGGAUCCGAGCCGCCAACGCCAGCGGCCUCCCCCGGUGCAAGUCCGAGGGGACCUUGAUCGACCUGAGUGAAGGGUUUUCAGAAACGAGCUUUAAUGAUGUCAAAGGUUGAUACUGGUGGGUCAUCUUCUUCCGUGAAGCCCAUCCUGACCUCAUAGGCCACAGUCAGCAUCUCUCCUGGUGCUGAGUGCCCCCUCCCACCAUCACCAUCACCACCACCACCACCAUCAUCAUCAUCAUCAUCAUAAUCAUCAUCAUCAUAAUCAUCAUCAUAAUCAUCAUCAUCAUCAUCAUAAUCAUCCUGAAUGGACUAUCCCACAGCCGUGAGCGCCUUCUGUUGAAAUCACUCACCAUUCAGGGAGCUGUAUCUGUGCCUUUAUAUCUUUGGGCCACGGCACAAAGCCAGCGCUAAACAAACAAUCCUUAACUGAACUGCUGUCUCCUGGAUAAAAUCGUGGCCCUCUCCCCAUGUACUGAGAGUCAUGCA